rnacentral:lncRNA from 1 species
AAAGAUUGUUAAAGGAUUUAAGGAUUUUGGGGAGGUACCACUGUAAAGCGAGAUUAUGGAGGUACAAAAGAGGAGGUACUCUCGCGGGAUGAAGGUGCCUUUGAUGCGAGUUUUAUUGGUAUUUUGGAGAAUGGAAAUAUUAUGUAUAAGAAAGUUGAUGAUUUUAAAAGAAAAGAAAGAAAAAGAUUAUAUGAUAUUGAAGGAGAAUUAUGCAAGUUAGAUAUGCAGCAAGAAGAUGAAAGUGAUUUGGAUAAUGAAGGUGAUGAAGACGAACUGGACAAAGAUGUAGAGAAUAUAUUAUAAAUCAAACAGUAAUUGGGUAAAUUGGUGCAUACCGAAGGAUGCACAGGUUCAGAGGGGGUGGAUAUCGUGUUGUGACAUGAGUAUACUGUGAAAAUAUAAAGAAAGGGGACUUUUAUUAAUGUUCAGUUACCUCGAAUAUUGAAAGCAACAACCAAUUCUAGUGCCAAUAUUCAGGGGCCAGUUCAGAGACCUCGUCACAGUCGGUCAAGGCAUACUUACCAGUAACGAAAUUCU